rnacentral:rRNA from 1 species
ACGGAAGGCAGCAGUGGGGAAUUUUGGACAAUGGGCGCAAGCCUGAUCCAGCCAUGCCGCGUGAGUGAAGAAGGCCUUCGGGUUGUAAAGCUCUUUCGGCCGGGAAGAAAUCGCAUCCCCUAAUACGGGGUGUGGAUGACGGUACCGGACUAAGAAGCACCGGCUAACUACGUGCCAGCAGCCGCGGUAAUACGUAGGGUGCGAGCGUUAAUCGGAAUUACUGGGCGUAAAGCGUGCGCAGGCGGUUCGCUAAGACAGAUGUGAAAUCCCCGGGCUCAACCUGGGAACUGCGUUUGUGACUGGCGGGCUAGAGUACGGCAGAGGGGGGUGGAAUUCCUGGUGUAGCAGUGAAAUGCGUAGAUAUCAGGAGGAACAUCGAUGGCGAAGGCAGCCCCCUGGGCCGCUACUGACGCUCAUGCACGAAAGCGUGGGGAGCAAACAGGAUUAGAUACCCUGGUA